ensembl:lncRNA
CCUACUGGGCGUGGAAUGUACUCCACGGGUUGGAAAUGGCCUUCCUGUUACUUUCUCUCCUAUUACUAUCCUGGAUUCUCUUAUUACUGGAAAACGUGUUCAAUACCCAGGGAUCACUCAGCACAAGGUCAAGAGCUGACUGUCAGCAAGAAAGAAAAGCAGAGCAAAGAAAUGAAGACCAUGUGAAAGGAAAACAUUGCUUUCAAGGCUCUGCCUACAAGGUCCACAUGAAAUUCCAGAGGCUGAAAGUCCAAGAUUAAAGUACUUCAUCAGCAGCUUUGGGAUCUGGUUAGAACUUGCUUCAUAGAUGGCCAUCCUUAUGUGGCACAAGGGGCCC